AAUGAACGUUGGCGGCGUGGAUUAGGCAUGCAAGUCGUGCGGAAAGGCUCCUUCGGGAGUACUCGAGCGGCGAAAGGGAGAGUAACGCGUGGAUAUCUACCCCCUGGUCUGGGAUAGCGGCGGGAAACUGCCGGUAAUACCAGAUAAUGUCUGCGGACCAAAGGUGUGAUUCCGCCGGGGGAUGAGUUCGCGUCCUAUUAGCUAGUUGGUAGGGUAACGGCCUACCAAGGCAAAAAUGGGUACCGGGUGUGAGAGCAUGGCCCGGCUCACUGGGACUGAGACACUGCCCAGACACCUACGGGUGGCUGCAGGCGAGAAUCUUCGGCAAUGGGCGCAAGCCUGACCGAGCGACGCCGCGUGCGGGAUGAAGGCCUUCGGGUUGUAAACCGCUGUCAGAGGGGAGGAAAUGCGUAGGAGUUCUCUCUUACGUUUGACCUAUCCUCAGAGGAGGUACGGGCUAAGUUCGUGCCAGCCGCCGCGGUAACAC
rnacentral:rRNA from 1 species